rnacentral:rRNA from 1 species
AUUGAACGCUGGCGGAAUGCUUUACACAUGCAAGUCGAACGGCAGCACGGACUUCGGUCUGGUGGCGAGUGGCGAACGGGUGAGUAAUGUAUCGGAACGUGCCCAGUCGUGGGGGAUAACGUAGUGAAAAUACGCUAAUACCGCAUACGAUCUAUGGAUGAAAGCGGGGGAUCGCAAGACCUCGCGCGAUUGGAGCGGCCGAUAUCAGAUUAGGUAGUUGGUGGGGUAAAGGCCCACCAAGCCAACGAUCUGUAGCUGGUCUGAGAGGACGACCAGCCACACUGGAACUGAGACACGGUCCAGACUCCUACGGGAGGCAGCAGUGGGGAAUUUUGGACAAUGGGCGAAAGCCUGAUCCAGCCAUUCCGCGUGCAGGAUGAAGGCCCUCGGGUUGUAAACUGCUUUUGUACAGAACGAAAAGGUUUCUACUAAUACUAGGAGCUCAUGACGGUACUGUAAGAAUAAGCACCGGCUAACUACGUGCCAGCCGCCGCAGUAA